UACGGGGGGGGCAAGCGUUGUUCGGAAUUACUGGGCGUAAAGGGCUCGUAGGCGGCCAACUAAGUCGGAUGUGAAAUCCCCAGGCUCAACCUGGGAACUGCGUCCGAUACUGGAUGGCUUGAAUCCGGGAGAGGGAUGCAGAAUUCCAGGUGUAGCGGUGAAAUGCGUAGAUAUCUGGAGGAAUACCGGUGGCGAAGGCGGCAUCCUGGACCAACACUGACACUGAGGAGCGAAAGCCAGGGGAGCAAAAGGG
rnacentral:rRNA from 1 species